GGAUGGUGACUGGAGUUCAGACGUGUGCUCUUCCGAUCUCUUAACACAUGCAAGUCGUACGGAAGAGCAAUCUUUAGUGGCGAACGGGUGAGUAACGCGUGAGAAUUUGCCUUUAGGAAGAGGAUAACAAUUGGAAACAGUUGCUAAAACUCUAUAUGCCGUUUACGGUGAAAAAAGUAAUUUGCCUAAAGAGAAGCUCGCGUCUGAUUAGCUAGUUGGUGGGGUAAAGGCCUACCAAGGCGACGAUCAGUAGCUGGUCUGAGAGGACGAUCAGCCACACUGGAACUGAGACACGGUCCAGACUCCUACGGGAGGCAGCAGUGAGGAAUUUUCUGCAAUGGGCGAAAGCCUGACAGAGCAAUACCGCGUGAGGGAUGAAGGCCUACGGGUUGUAAACCUCUUUUCUCAAGGAGGAAGAUCUGACGUUACUUGAGGAAUAAGCAUCGGCUAACCCUGUGCCAGCAGCCGCGGUAAUACAGGGGAUGCAAGUGUUAUCCGGAAUUAUUGGGCGUAAAGCGUCUGCAGGUUGAUAUUUAAGUCUUUUGUUAAAACUUCGGGCUCAACCCGGAAUCUGCAAAGGAAACUAUAUAUCUUGAGUAUGGUAGGGGUAAAGGGAAUUUCCAGUGGAGCGGUGAAAUGCGUAGAUAUUGGAAAGAACACCAACAGCGAAGGCACUUUACUGGGCCAGUACUGACACUCAGAGACGAAAGCUAGGGGAGCAAACAGGAUUAGAUACCCUGGUAGUCCUAGCUGUAAACGAUGGAUACUAGAUGUUGUGUACCUUAGGGUAUGCAGUGUCGUAGCUAACGCGUUAAGUAUCCCGCCUGGGAAGUAUGCUCGCAAGAGUGAAAC
rnacentral:rRNA from 1 species